rnacentral:rRNA from 1 species
AAUAGAUACCCAGGUAGUCCACGCCGUAAACGAUGGAUACUAGCUGUUCGGAGCAAUCUGAGUGGCUAAGCGAAAGUGAUAAGUAUCCCACCUGGGGAGUACGUUCGCAAGAAUGAAACUCAAAGGAAUUGACGGGGGCCCGCACAAGCGGUGGAGCAUGUGGUUUAAUUCGAUGAUACGCGAGGAACCUUACCAAGGCUUAAAUGUAGAUUGACCGGUUUGGAAACAGAUCUUUCGCAAGACAAUUUACAAGGUGCUGCAUGGUUGUCGUCAGCUCGUGCCGUGAGGUGUCAGGUUAAGUCCUAUAACGAGCGCAACCCCUGUCGUUAGUUGCCAGCGAGUGAUGUCGGGAACUCUAACGAGACUGCCAGUGUAAACUGUGAGGAAGGUGGGGAUGACGUCAAAUCAUCACGGCCCUUACGCCUUGGGCUACACACGUGCUACAAUGGCCGGUACAGAGAGCAGCCACUGGGCGACCAGGAGCGAAUCUAUAAAACCGGUCACAGUUCGGAUCGGAGU